CAACCGAGAUUCCCCCAGUAGCGGCGAGCGAACGGGGAGGAGCCCAGAGCCUGAAUCAGUGUGUGUGUUAGUGGAAGCGUCUGGAAAGGCGCGCGAUACAGGGUGACAGCCCCGUACACAAAAAUGCACAUACUGUGAGCUCGAUGAGUAGGGCGGGACACGUGGUAUCCUGUCUGAAUAUGGGGGGACCAUCCUCCAAGGCUAAAUACUCCUGACUGACCGAUAGUGAACCAGUACCGUGAGGGAAAGGCGAAAAGAACCCCGGCGAGGGGAGUGAAAAAGAACCUGAAACCGUGUACGUACAAGCAGUGGGAGCCUCUUAAUGGGGUGACUGCGUACCUUUUGUAUAAUGGGUCAGCGACUUAUAUUCUGUAGCAAGGUUAACCGAAUAGGGGAGCCGAAGGGAAACCGAGUCUUAACUGGGCGUUAAGUUGCAGGGUAUAGACCCGAAACCCGGUGAUCUAGCCAUGGGCAGGUUGAAGGUUGGGUAACACUAACUGGAGGACCGAACCGACUAAUGUUGAAAAAUUAGCGGAUGACUUGUGGCUGGGGGUGAAAGGCCAAUCAAACCGGGAGAUAGCUGGUUCUCCCCGAAAGCUAUUUAGGUAGCGCCUCGUGAAUUCAUCUCCGGGGGUAGAGCACUGUUUCGGCAAGGGGGUCAUCCCGACUUACCAACCCGAUGCAAACUGCGAAUACCGGAGAAUGUUAUCACGGGAGACACACGGCGGGUGCUAACGUCCGUCGUGAAGAGGGAAACAACCCAGACCGCCAGCUAAGGUCCCAAAGUCAUGGUUAAGUGGGAAACGAUGUGGGAAGGCCCAGACAGCCAGGAUGUUGGCUUAGAAGCAGCCAUCAUUUAAAGAAAGCGUAAUAGCUCACUGGUCGAGUCGGCCUGCGCGGAAGAUGUAACGGGGCUAAACCAUGCACCGAAGCUGCGGCAGCGACACUAUGUGUUGUUGGGUAGGGGAGCG
rnacentral:rRNA from 1 species